GAAGUGCGAUAAGUGUCAUGACUUGCAGAUCCCCGAGAGCUGACAAAUUUCUGAAUGCAAAUGGCGGCCAACUCCGUUGGUCAUGUAUUGCAGAGUGUAGUUGUUCAUACUCAUCAUCCUCCACAAUGUCUUGUACGUUCUGGAGGGAUCUGCGCUUGUUGGGUUCAAUCUCCCAUGCGAGCGUGAAAAGUCAGAGUGGAUGCCUUCUGUCAUGGAAGGUGUCCAACUUCGGAGUUAUCUUAGAAGUUCCCCAGGCUCUGUCCCUUUAUAUAUUCACCUCUGCAAUGCAGGAAAACCCGCUGAACUUAA
rnacentral:misc_RNA from 1 species